CUCGUCAGAUUCUCGUUUCUCUCUCGUCUCGAACGAUUUAUGAUUUUAUUGAUUGUGUUGUUUUCAUUGGGUGGUAGCCAUUAAACAGAAUAAUCAUUGAUUGUGAUUGUAAUGCUAUUAUUUGUAUUCUCUAAAACUUAUUGCCCUUACGCUCCACCGUGACUAGGUUGGUGGUAUUCACAUUCAGUCCGCAACUUCGAUAACGAUUACUUCUUGGAAAUGGAAAUUAGAAAAUAGUGUAAAGGAGGAAACUGGAUUUGAAAACCCAUGUACCACUGACAUUUCACUAAGAAGCAAAUCGGCAAUGGGUUGGUGAAUUAAUUUCCUAUUACACACAUAAGUUACCAACUCAUAGGAGUACUGUACUGUAUGGUGCAGGAAUUUUGUGAUUUAUUUAUAACUUUUAUAGUUAAGCUUUCAAAAUGAUUAUUAGUGAUUUACCAGAAGAAGUGAUUCUCAUAAUUUUAAGGCAAUUAGAUUUGAUAUCUUUAAUUAAGUUAUAUGACGCCUCAGAUGAUAUUUUGAGAAAAGUUCUGACACUACCUUGUGCAAUAAAGGAAUGGCACAUGUCGCUAAGUUGUUUGGCAACUGUACAAACUUUCAAAUGUAAUCUCUUUAAGGAUGCGGCCCACCACUUACAAGUUUUGAAUUUAUGUAGUGUUAAAGAUUUGCGUAAAACUAAUAUCAUACCAGUCUUAAAGAGGAUGAAAAAUUUAAAAUCCCUUGAUGUCUCUUAUACAGAAAUUAAAUUCUUAGACUUUUUUGACAUGCAUGAUGCUUGUCCUACCAUCAAUAGUUUAUGUAUCAAUUAUAGUUUUGAAAAAGGUAAAGUUACAUUUUCAGAAAGUCAGGUACUGAGAGGUCAAGAUGUAUUUGAAAAAAUGGAAAAUUUGCAUUUAAUUGGCAAUGCCGUUAAUUUGUUGUAUACAAAUGUACCGGGAUAUUUUUUGCAAAAAGCCAAUUUGAAUACUUUAAAAUGUACCAUAAUAAAUGAGCCGACUGGCUAUGUAGAAUGUGAUGGAGAAUUUGAUGGAAUGAUUAAAUUCAAACAAUUUUUUGUUUAUUUCAUGAACUUAGAACUAAGUUAUGGACCUUAUUAUGGCAUGUCCAUGUUCAAUAUGUUAAUUAAAGAACACUAUGAAUUUAUAAUAAUGUAUAACAGAAUAACUUUAGAUGAUGUAAUAGUGUAUGCUACUCCUGUAUUUGAAGAGUUUUUUAAAGAAAAGUUUAAUAUCAAGAUAAGAGGUAUGCCUCAGUAUAAUAAUCAACUCACUGGAAACAUGGCUGUAUUAAUAUUUAAAAAAGAAGAUACUUGUUUUAACAAUACAUUUUUCUCGAACUUAUUUCAUAGGCUGAAAGACUGUUUUCCAGUAUAUUUCGAAUAUGGCAGUAAGAACCCUGUACCAGAUAAUUUUAAUUGGUAUUAUACUACUCCAACAGUACCGCCGAUAGGUGAUUUCAUUGUAGAGGAACCCUACGAAUUUAAAAAAAAGAGGAUCGGUGUCCCGAAUUUUAUACUUAAUUUGGAUGAGCCUUUGAAAAGUAAAAAUAAGGUUCAAUUGACUGUUUCAUUUCUUUUGAACUAUGUUACUCCUAUUACAUUAACACCAAGUUGUGAUUUUUUGUCAAAACUAACGUUUUUAAGUUUAGCUGGUACUGUGCGAUACAGUGUUGAGUUCUUCAAUGUUCUGUUUAGAUGCUGUGCAAAUCUUGAAACGUUAGAUAUUGUAGCGUCAUCUGUAUCGCCGUGCGUGUCGUCUAUAUCCCGAUCGGUACCAUUGAGCAAAACGUUGAAGAACCUGCGCUUGACUGAUAGGAGGUUUGAUUAUAAUACAUUUUUCCAAUCUCUUAGUCAAUGUAAAACAUUGGAAAAUAUUCACGUGCUCGAUCGUUCAUCGGAAACUACGAAUUUGGCAGAUCCAAGCACCCUAAUUAGAAAUUGUAAAAAUUUAUAUAGCAUCUGUUUACAAGCAUGUAUGAGUACCGCAACCAAAAAGAGAAUGAUUAGUGUUUUUAAUAACGCAAAAUCUUCUAUGAAUAUGCAUCACUUGGAUAUUAAAUUGUGCCAAAUAUUUUUGUCACACGACGUUGAAGGAUUUGAGUAUGAACCAUUUAUUCAUGUUUUUAAUGUUUAUCCAAUUAAAAGCGACUUAAAAUUUU